GACGAACGCUGGCGGCGUGCUUAACACAUGCAAGUCGAACGGAAAGGCCCUGCUUUUGUGGGGUGCUCGAGUGGCGAACGGGUGAGUAACACGUGAGUAACCUGCCCUUGACUUUGGGAUAACUUCAGGAAACUGGGGCUAAUACCGGAUAGGAGCUCCUGCUGCAUGGUGGGGGGUGGAAAGUUUCGGCGGUUGGGGAUGGACUCGCGGCUUAUCAGCUUGUUGGUGGGGGAGUGGCUUACCAAGGCUUUGACGGGUAGCCGGCCUGAGAGGGUGACCGGCCACAUUGGGACUGAGUUGCGGCCCAGCCUCCUACGGGAGGCAGCAGUGGGGAAUAUUGCACAAUGGGCGGAAGCCUGAUGCAGCAACGCCGCGUGCGGGAUGACGGCCUUCGGGUUGUAAACCGCUUUCGCCUGUGACGAAGCGUGAGUGACGGUAAUGGGUAAAGAAGCACCGGCUAACUACGUG
rnacentral:rRNA from 1 species